CUUGUAUGAUACCAAAUGAAAGAAAAGAAUAAUAAACAUAUAAUUAUAAUAACAUAAGUGAAAAGAACACUAAUAAGAAGAUAAACUCUGAAUAAUUAUAACAAUCAAGUUAAGAAAACAGGAGACAGAAUGUUGUAGACGUUGAUAUGGUGACUCUAUUCAAUGGUUUUGCAAUUAUUAUUAUUGUUUUUUGCUAUAAAGAAUUUAAUGUCAAUGGAGAUGGAUUUGAAAACUAUCUACCAAGAACUGUCUGUGGUAUAAAAACAAUAAGCAUUGAUAUGUUUUAAAGUAUGUGUUUUACCAAGAUUUUUUUAUUAUUUUUCUCUCUACACUCUUCCAACUCAGUAUUUUUCAAUUUGGUAAUUAUGAGACACUUGCCAUUAAAAAGAGUUUUAUAUUGUUAGCUUUAAAAUGGUUGAAGGCCUUAAACUGUAACAGUUAAAAGAGUGAUGUUGUAAACUGUAGUGAGUUAGAAUGGUGGAAGAUAUAAAUUGUGAUAGAUAUAAGAGAGGGUUAGUAAAUUUGACCGCAGAAAAUAUGUUUCACUACAGUGUCUUGGUUUUUAAAUCAAAUAUAAGGUGGUCACCUGGGAAAUAGUCCCAAUUAUUCAAAUACCCAAGUCAACUGGGUUUUAGAGAGAUUUUAAUUAAUACAAAAUGUGGAAUUAAAGAAAAGAAAGAGAGAAAAAGGAAAUAAGUAUGAAGGGCCUUAAGCCAACAUGGCCUAGACCUGAGUCUUAAGAGAGAGAGAUCAGUCAGUCAGUCUUUUAACACUCACCACAAGGUCUAUCUAAGCAAGGAUUCUAGUGACACCAGGCCAACUCCAUCUCAGCUGACUUCACCAGAGAGAGUUCCAGCCAGAGUCCUCCUUAAAGAGCCUUCCAGCCAGAGACUGUUCCAAAGGGCCUCUCUCCAGAGCCUCCAGAGGGACAGAGUCCCCUCAGAGGAGCUCCAGCGAGACCUCCUUAAAGAUUGUCCUCCAAGAGCUUUCCUUCUCCAGAGCCUCUCUCAAGAGAUUCUUCCCAAGCGAUCCUCAUCAGAGAUCCUCCAAAAGGAUUUUUUUUCAAGAAAUUCUGCUUUUUCUUUUAUAUUUUGACUUCUUUCUGAUUUAUCAUUAAAAUAGUUUGUGUCCCAGUCUCAGUGCUCCAAAUUACUAGCUAUCUUUGCCAACUUGAUUUUCUUUGAAAACCUAAUAAAAUGUUCUCUAUUCUCA
rnacentral:lncRNA from 1 species